GACGAACCGUACGAACGGUAUUCGGAAUCACUGGGCUUAAAGGGUGCGUAGGCUGCGCAGCAAGUUGGGUGUGAAAUCCCUCGGCUUAACCGAGGAACUGCGCCCAAAACUGCUGUGCUCGAGGGAGAUAGAGGUGAGCGGAACUUAGGGUGGAGCGGUGAAAUGCGUUGAUAUCCUAAGGAACACCGGUGGCGAAAGCGGCUCACUGGAUCUCUUCUGACGCUGAGGCACGAAAGCUAGGGUAGCGAACGGG
rnacentral:rRNA from 1 species